CACGUAGGCACCAAGCGUUGUCCGGAUUUAUUGGGCGUAAAGAGCUCGUAGGCGGUUCAGUAAGUCGGGUGUGAAAACUUUGGGCUUAACCCAAAGCGUGCAUCCGAUACUGCUGUGACUUGAGUUCGGUAGGGGAGUGGGGAAUUCCUAGUGUAGCGGUGAAAUGCGCAGAUAUUAGGAGGAACACCGAUGGCGAAGGCAGGUCUCUGGGCCACUACUGACGCUGAGAAGCGAAAGCAUGGGGAGCGAAGAGGA
rnacentral:rRNA from 1 species